AGUCUGCUCUUGCAGUUAAAAUUGGCCCAAUGAGCAUCACCAGAGUAGACUUUGAAGCAGAGGCCGAACAAGAGCACAGUCAGCAGAAUACGUGAUAUUGAUGGUGUUGAACUCUGUCGUUAAUUAAUAGCUGCCUUUCGCUUUCCGUUUUUGAUCCAAACGUUGUCGAUAUAGGUAUGUAAAUUAUUUUCUGCUGGAUCUAAUUUCAGUAGAUAUGCCUAACGACCUACAUGAAUGAAUAUUCUAAUGCACCUAAAGGCCUACGUGAAUGAAUAUUCUAAUGGUUUUGUAAACUUGUCUCAAGACUCUUGGACUCGAUUGCAACAUAAAUGUGCCGGAAAGGAUGGCCAUGUUAGAUUCAAAGUGACUUCCAUAUUAUUGUUAACAUGUUUGGUAAGAUGGACUACAUGAUACUAGAAAGUAUAAUUGUUUGGGGUAAAGAAGAUAUGAUUCUGACAUGUUUAGUUUGAUGGGUUGGACAAUAAUAGAUCAUGUAAAUGAAGUUAUAAACUUGUUAAAAAACUAUCCAAUAUUUGUUCGGUCGGUUUCGGGGCCACGGUUAGUAUUGGAUGGUGCAAACUGGAUUUGGGUUACCUGAAAUUGAAUGCAGAUGAUAUAGUCUCUGUCGAAGAGGAUUUUAUUGAAAUGGGAUUCAUCAUGAGAGAUCAUAAUGGUCUGGUCGUGGUGGCCAGCUCUCGGCAGAUUAGGGGCCUUUUUGACCCUGAAGUUGCUGAAUCAAUUGCCCUGUGUUAUGGUCUCCAGUUGCAAAGGAAAAUGGCUUCAUGGAUUUGGAAGUUGAGUCCAAUGCUCACAGGGUAGUUCACAGUCGAAACCUCGUUUCUUUAUUGGCAUCUAAUGCUGCUAUUUUAAUGGUCCAUUUAAAUGGUUUUUACUAUGGUUUUGGUUCAUACUUGUCUGUUAUGUCAUUUUGUAGAGUGUCAAUGUAAAUGCCUUAAGAUACUUUUGAGCCCUUGCUGAUCUGUCAUUUUUUAUUCAUCUUGCAAACAUUUGCAAGAAGUCUGCUCUUGCAGUUAAAAUUGGCCCAAUGAGCAUCACCAGAGUAGACUUUGGCCGAACAAGAGCACAGUCAGCAGAAUACGUGAUAUUGAUGGUGUUGAACUCUGUCGUUAAUUAAUAGCUGCCUUUCGCUUUCCGUUUUUGAUCCAAAUGUUGUCGAUAUAGGUAUGUAAAUUAUUUUCUGCUGGAUCUAAUUUCAGUAGAUAUGCCUAACGACCUACAUGAAUGAAUAUUCUAAUGUACCUAAAGGCCUACGUGAAUGAAUAUUCUAAUGGUUUUGUAAACUUGUCUCAAGACUCUU
rnacentral:lncRNA from 1 species